AUACUGGCUCUACUGAAGUCAAUGGGAGUUGUGCCACUGACUUCAGUAGGACCAGGAUUUUACCCU
rnacentral:miRNA from 1 species